rnacentral:lncRNA from 1 species
GUCCUCUCUCCUCCCUGCUUUCUCCUCAUUGGUGUUUCCUUCUUCUUAGAUUCCAGAGCUUGUUUUUGUUCUCAGCAGCCUUUCCAGGGUGAGGUGGCUUCAAUUCCCCAUUGGAAAUCUGAAUGAAGCUGCAGUUUGCUCAGGAAGGGAAGAAAGAAAAGUUUAGAUCUGGCUUUAGCAACAGACAGAUGCACUUCUGAUUUCUUCAGGCACAAAGAAGAUGUGUUUGCUGACGUUAUACUUCACCUGAAAAGGAAAAGAAAAUCCGUUAAAGACAGAAGAGUGGAAAUAUUACUUGAAUUUUCCAACAGGGCUAGCAUAGUGUAAUGCUUAUUGCUACAGAUGCAGAAUGACUGCUUCAGGCUUAUUUCCCUAUGCCUCCCACCAAAGGGACUAAGGGCCAAAUGGAGGUGGUCUCUUUGACAUCGACACAAGUAGAAAAAGGCAUCCAGGAUGGAAAUCCAGUACACAACCAUUGCAUCCUGCUCCUGUAUUCCCCCUGGACCCAGCUCCUGUAUUCCCCCCUGGACCCAUGAUGUUCAUAUUCUACAGACCUCAUAAAGGAUUCUUCAAUGCUGUAAGUACUAGUAUCAGAUCUGCUCAAACAGAGCAUCAUGAAGAACAAGCAUAAAGAUUGAAUCCUAUUAAUCAUGGUCUUGGGAAGCUCCAAGCAAAAUAUCUUCUAAAUAAUUAGGGCCAAAAAAUAGGCUUUGCAUACUAAAUUAUGUC